rnacentral:rRNA from 1 species
ACCUGGGCUUGACAUAUAACUGCACGACCCCGUGAAAGCGGGGUUCCUUCGAGGGUGUUAUACAGGUGCUGCAUGGGCUGUCGUCGGCUCGUGCCGUGAGGUGUUGGGUUAAGUCCCGCAACGAGCGCAACCCUUGUGACUAGUUGCCACUCCCAUUUCGGUGGGAAGCACUCUAGUCAGACUGCCCGUGAUAAGCGGGAGGAAGGUGGGGAUGACGUCAAGUCCGUAUGGCCUUUAUGCCCAGGGCUGCACACGUGCUACAAUGGAUGGUACAGAAGGACGCAAGACCGCGAGGUGGAGCAAAUCCCCAAAACCAUCCACAGUUCAGAUUGGAGUCUGCAACUCGACUCCAUGAAGCUGGAAUCGCUAGUAAAGGCGUAUCAGCUACGACGCCUUGAAUACGUUCCCGGGCCUU